AACAUAUAAUAGUCAUCAGGCCAGGAUGAUGGAGGCCGGAAGGUUUGGAUAUUAAGCUGCUCUCAGACAUGCACUGAACUCUGUGCUCAUUUUCCGAGGGGCUGAACGUGAGAAUGCAAAUGUUCGAGUCAGUUGCUCCGAAACCUUUCAUGUCAGGCCCCUGGUAAAAUGUUCCAGAACAUAACUGAACCAGCCCGUGUCUGAAUAGUGAGUGGGUGUGUUCUAACACCUUUUCGAGAGAUUUUGGUGAUCAAGUUCAACGCCAGGUUCAAUGUGGUGUGAAUAAAACAUGUGAAUUCCACAUCAGAAUUUAGACGUUAUGUUUCAUUACUUGUGAAUGCAUGACAACAAUAUUCACUGCUGUGCUAACAUAUGAUUAUUUGUAGGUUGUAGCUGGGUCUCAAGGAAAAUUGGAAUGUGCUGAAGCUGUUUGAUGAAGAGGAGGAAACUAAUACUAAUUUGCUCACUGAAAACUGAAAACAGAUGCCAGCCUGGAAAAUGAUGUUAUGAUUGUGAUGAUACAUAUUUUGUAACAUCAUAACAUGUUGGCUUUUUUUAAAUAAAUUCCUACAGCAUGAUGGA